CUGACAGCCUUAGAGUCUGAAAUUAUUUGUCUACAGAACAGGUGCAGCACAGGCAGCAGCCACUCAAGCAUCCCUACAAUGGCUUAUGUGCCCUUGGCCUGUAGGGACUCUAGAGGUGAGGAUGAUAGCUCCUUCUUCCUACCCAUUUAGUGCUUCACUUCU
rnacentral:sRNA from 1 species